rnacentral:snoRNA from 1 species
CCCCUCUCAGGAUUGCACCUGGAGAGUUUCCAGUACUCUACCAGUGUCAGCUACGGGAGGGAGAGUCAAGCAGAGGCAUACCCAUUCCAUUCAUACCAUGGGCAGUGGCUAGUGAGUGGAAAGCAAUCUGUUACAAGU